AGUGGGAUAGCUGGGUCAAAUGGUGGUUCCAUUCCAUGUUUUCUGAGGAAUCUUCAUACUGCUUUCCUUAUUGGCUGCACCAAUUUGUAGUCCCAUCAGCAAU
rnacentral:pre_miRNA from 1 species